rnacentral:siRNA from 1 species
GGGAAAAAUAAAUUUUAGCGCCA